GCCAGCGGCCAUGUCACCCUGCAACUUACUGUACAAUUGGCAACCCACUGAAGCUCAGCAGGUGUGAGCCGGGUCAGUACCUGGAUGAGAGACCUCCUGGGAAAAACUAGGGUUGCUGCUGAAA
rnacentral:rRNA from 1 species